rnacentral:rRNA from 1 species
UACGUAGGGUGCAAGCGUUAAUCGGAAUUACUGGGCGUAAAGCGUGCGCAGGCGGUUUGUAAGUCUGUCGUGAAAGCCCCGGGCUCAACCUGGGAAUUGCGAUGGAGACUGCAAGGCUUGAAUCUGGCAGAGGGGGUAGAAUUCCACGUGUAGCAGUGAAAUGCGUAGAGAUGUGGAGAACACCGAUGGCGAAGGCAGCCCCCUGGGUCAAGAUUGACGCUCAUGCACGAAAGCGUGGGGAGCAACAGG